GUCUCACCAGUGUUCUGUACAAUGGCAUGAGCACUUCCCUCUAUCUACUGCAAAUACCUCUCCCUAUACAACCAAGCAUUCUGCUAGCAUUUCCUGCUGCUCUAUUACAUUGUCUGUCUACCUUUAAGUCAUCAGAAAUAAUCACCCCUAAAUCCCUUUCCUCAGAUGUUGAGGUUAGGACUCUAUCAAAUAUUCUGUACUUUGCCCUUGGGUUUUUACAUCCAAG